AGGGAAUCUUCCACAAUGGACGAAAGUCUGAUGGAGCAACGCCGCGUGAGUGAUGAAGGUUUUCGGAUCGUAAAACUCUGUUGUAAGGGAAGAACCAGUACGUCAGGCAAUGGACGUACCUUGACGGUACCUUAUUAGAAAGCCACGGCUAACUACGUGCCAGCAGCCGCGGUAAUACGUAGGUGGCAAGCGUUGUCCGGAACUAUUGGGCGUAAAGCGCGCGCAGGUGGUUUCUUAAGUCUGAUGUGAAAGCCCACGGCGUAACCGUGGAGGGUCAUUAGAAACUGGGAGACUUGAGUGCAGAGUAGAAAAGUGGAAUUCCAAGUGUAGCGGUGGAAUGCGCGGAUAUCAGGAGGAACACCGAUGACGAAGGCAGGUCACUGGGCCGCAACUGACGCUGAGGAGCGAAAGCAUGGGGGGCGAACA
rnacentral:rRNA from 1 species